rnacentral:rRNA from 1 species
UACGUAGGGUGCAAGCGUUGUCCGGAAUUAUUGGGCGUAAAGAGCUCGUAGGCGGUCUGUCGCGUCGGCUGUGAAAACUCGGGGCUCAACCCCGAGCCUGCAGUCGAUACGGGCAGACUAGAGUGCGGUAGGGGAGACUGGAAUUCCUGGUGUAGCGGUGAAAUGCGCAGAUAUCAGGAGGAACACCGGUGGCGAAGGCGGGUCUCUGGGCCGUAACUGACACUGAGGGACGAAAGCUAGGGGAGCGAAAGGG